rnacentral:rRNA from 1 species
GGUUAAGCGACUAAGCGUACACGGUGGAUGCCCUGGCAGUCAGAGGCGAUGAAGGACGUGCUAAUCUGCGAUAAGCGUCGGUAAGGUGAUAUGAACCGUUAUAACCGGCGAUUUCCGAAUGGGGAAACCCAGUGUGUUUCGACACACUAUCAUUAACUGAAUCCAUAGGUUAAUGAGGCGAACCGGGGGAACUGAAACAUCUAAGUACCCCGAGGAAAAGAAAUCAACCGAGAUUCCCCCAGUAGCGGCGAGCGAACGGGGAGCAGCCCAGAGCCUGAAUCAGUGUGUGUGUUAGUGGAAGCGUCUGGAAAGGCGCGCGAUACAGGGUGACAGCCCCGUACACAAAAAUGCACAUGCUGUGAGCUCGAUGAGUAGGGCGGGACACGUGGUAUCCUGUCUGAAUAUGGGGGGACCAUCCUCCAAGGCUAAAUACUCCUGACUGACCGAUAGUGAACCAGUACCGUGAGGGAAAGGCGAAAAGAACCCCGGCGAGGGGAGUGAAAAAGAACCUGAAACCGUGUACGUACAAGCAGUGGGAGCCUCUUUUAUGGGGUGACUGCGUACCUUUUGUAUAAUGGGUCAGCGACUUAUAUUCUGUAGCAAGGUUAACCGAAUAGGGGAGCCGAAGGGAAACCGAGUCUUAACUGGGCGUUAAGUUGCAGGGUAUAGACCCGAAACCCGGUGAUCUAGCCAUGGGCAGGUUGAAGGUUGGGUAACACUAACUGGAGGACCGAACCGACUAAUGUUGAAAAAUUAGCGGAUGACUUGUGGCUGGGGGUGAAAGGCCAAUCAAACCGGGAGAUAGCUGGUUCUCCCCGAAAGCUAUUUAGGUAGCGCCUCGUGAAUUCAUCUCCGGGGGUAGAGCACUGUUUCGGCAAGGGGGUCAUCCCGACUUACCAACCCGAUGCAAACUGCGAAUACCGGAGAAUGUUAUCACGGGAGACACACGGCGGGUGCUAACGUCCGUCGUGAAGAGGGAAACAACCCAGACCGCCAGCUAAGGUCCCAAAGUCAUGGUUAAGUGGGAAACGAUGUGGGAAGGCCCAGACAGCCAGGAUGUUGGCUUAGAAGCAGCCAUCAUUUAAAGAAAGCGUAAUAGCUCACUGGUCGAGUCGGCCUGCGCGGAAGAUGUAACGGGGCUAAACCAUGCACCGAAGCUGCGGCAGCGACGCUUAUGCGUUGUUGGGUAGGGGAGCGUUCUGUAAGCCUGUGAAGGUGUGCUGUGAGGCAUGCUGGAGGUAUCAGAAGUGCGAAUGCUGACAUAAGUAACGAUAAAGCGGGUGAAAAGCCCGCUCGCCGGAAGACCAAGGGUUCCUGUCCAACGUUAAUCGGGGCAGGGUGAGUCGACCCCUAAGGCGAGGCCGAAAGGCGUAGUCGAUGGGAAACAGGUUAAUAUUCCUGUACUUGGUGUUACUGCGAAGGGGGGACGGAGAAGGCUAUGUUGGCCGGGCGACGGUUGUCCCGGUUUAAGCGUGUAGGCUGGUUUUCCAGGCAAAUCCGGAAAAUCAAGGCUGAGGCGUGAUGACGAGGCACUACGGUGCUGAAGCAACAAAUGCCCUGCUUCCAGGAAAAGCCUCUAAGCAUCAGGUAACAUCAAAUCGUACCCCAAACCGACACAGGUGGUCAGGUAGAGAAUACCAAGGCGCUUGAGAGAACUCGGGUGAAGGAACUAGGCAAAAUGGUGCCGUAACUUCGGGAGAAGGCACGCUGAUAUGUAGGUGAAGCGACUUGCUCGUGGAGCUGAAAUCAGUCGAAGAUACCAGCUGGCUGCAACUGUUUAUUAAAAACACAGCACUGUGCAAACACGAAAGUGGACGUAUACGGUGUGACGCCUGCCCGGUGCCGGAAGGUUAAUUGAUGGGGUCAGCGCAAGCGAAGCUCUUGAUCGAAGCCCCGGUAAACGGCGGCCGUAACUAUAACGGUCCUAAGGUAGCGAAAUUCCUUGUCGGGUAAGUUCCGACCUGCACGAAUGGCGUAAUGAUGGCCAGGCUGUCUCCACCCGAGACUCAGUGAAAUUGAACUCGCUGUGAAGAUGCAGUGUACCCGCGGCAAGACGGAAAGACCCCGUGAACCUUUACUAUAGCUUGACACUGAACAUUGAGCCUUGAUGUGUAGGAUAGGUGGGAGGCUUUGAAGUGUGGACGCCAGUCUGCAUGGAGCCGACCUUGAAAUACCACCCUUUAAUGUUUGAUGUUCUAACGUUGACCCGUAAUCCGGGUUGCGGACAGUGUCUGGUGGGUAGUUUGACUGGGGCGGUCUCCUCCUAAAGAGUAACGGAGGAGCACGAAGGUUGGCUAAUCCUGGUCGGACAUCAGGAGGUUAGUGCAAUGGCAUAAGCCAGCUUGACUGCGAGCGUGACGGCGCGAGCAGGUGCGAAAGCAGGUCAUAGUGAUCCGGUGGUUCUGAAUGGAAGGGCCAUCGCUCAACGGAUAAAAGGUACUCCGGGGAUAACAGGCUGAUACCGCCCAAGAGUUCAUAUCGACGGCGGUGUUUGGCACCUCGAUGUCGGCUCAUCACAUCCUGGGGCUGAAGUAGGUCCCAAGGGUAUGGCUGUUCGCCAUUUAAAGUGGUACGCGAGCUGGGUUUAGAACGUCGUGAGACAGUUCGGUCCCUAUCUGCCGUGGGCGCUGGAGAACUGAGGGGGGCUGCUCCUAGUACGAGAGGACCGGAGUGGACGCAUCACUGGUGUUCGGGUUGUCAUGCCAAUGGCACUGCCCGGUAGCUAAAUGCGGAAGAGAUAAGUGCUGAAAGCAUCUAAGCACGAAACUUGCCCCGAGAUGAGUUCUCCCUGACUCCUUGAGAGUCCUGAAGGAACGUUGAAGACGACGACGUUGAUAGGCCGGGUGUGUAAGCGCAGCGAUGCGUUGAGCUAACCGGUACUAAUGAACCGUGAGGCUUAACCUU